CCUAAACUUAAAUACUGAUCAUCAUAUCGUCGUCUUUUGGGUUUAAGCCCUGAAGUUGAAGGCUUUGAAUCGGGUGGUCUCAGAAACCGCUCCAUUGCAUUAAUAGGCAUAUACCUAUAUUGGCGGGCUUGCAAAACAGCAGCGAAUUCACAGCAAUGGCCUUCUGGGUGAAAAAUGUUUCUCAUAUUUUUGACUUAUUAUUUUUUAGUAUCAUUUAAAAUAAAAACAUUUAAAUAUAAUAAAAAUACAUAUAAUAAUUAAACUAAAUAAUUAUAUUUUUUAUUUAUUAUAAUUUUUCCCCGCGCCUCCCCUGACAUGCUGUGGCGCCCCCCAGGGGAGGCGCGCCCCACACUUUGAAAACCGCUGUGUUAGAGUUUAGUGUUCUUUGUUCCCACCCUUUUGUUUUUCAAAUCUGUAACUGUCAAAGCACCUCAUUACUGAUUUUCUGGAGUUCAGUGAUACAACUACACAGGCUGUCAACACACUCUCAACAGGUUUUUGGUCACAUGUAAGUGUGAGCAGCUCUUUUAAGCUGAGGAUACCUCUCUCCUUUUCUCCACUAAAUGUAUCACAUCCCACAACCUCAUCAUCUGCAGAUAAACUGUCACUCAGUCACACCAUAAUGAUGGACUUAAAGGCAUAUGAAGAUAUUUCACUGGAACUUGGUCUUCAUCUAUUUUUUGUUUUUAUUUUGUUUUACUUCUUUGUGUAUUUAUUCAUGUUCAUUAUCAAUUGUCAUUUGUUAAUGUAUUCAGCUAAAAACUGUUGUUAAGAGCACUGACAUUUUUGCUACAAUGUUACAUCAAUAAAAAAGUACCCAAUCCACACAACAUUGUUCUUGUUGUUGUUUUAAUGUAAUAUAUAUAAAAGGCUCAAUACUGAUUUUCUGGAGCUCAGCCAUUCAGCUACACAGACUGUCAACACAUUCAACAGGUAAAUAAUUUCUUUCUUAAAAUGUCUAUAAUUUAACUUCAAAUUGUAACUGGUUUCCUACCAAUUUCUUUUUGUCUCUUUUUAGUUUAACAGAAUAUGUAAGUGUGACCAGCCCUGUUCAGUUAAAGAUACUUAUCUCCUCUUCACCACCACGUAAGUAACAAAGAUAGAAUUUAUGCGAGAUGGUGAUUAUUAUUACUAUUAUUAUUAUUACUUGGGUUUAUGCAUAAACAUACCCAGUCACAGCUAUCCCAUGACUUUAUAUCACUUUUUCAUUUUAACAUACUACUUUUGGUCCCACUUUAUAUUAGGUGGCCUUAACUAAUAUGUACUUACAUUUAACUUAAUAAUUUGGUACAAUGCACUUAUUGUGUACAUACAUGUUUUUACAUUGUACUUAUAUUUUUUAAAAUACCUAUAUGUAAUUACAUCUGUAAUUAAUUUCUGUAAUUACAUUUAUAAUUACACUGUUGACCCAUCCCUUAAACCUACCCGUACCACCAAACCUGCCCC